GCGGAAGUGAGGAGUCCCGGCCAAAGGCGCUCGCUGGAGCCUUCUUUCUGGGCCGGACCCCAACCCAAGCGGCCGAACGGAGCCCCCCGCCCGGAUCGCAGGUAACAAAAGAAAUACAAACCAGUACACCGUCUUCUGGGGGAAGGGGGACAGGAUGGGAAACCUUCUGUAACUUGGUCAUCGGCAGAGAAACUUUAUACAAUUCCAUGAGAAAUUUUAUUAUUUUUUUUCCGACAGAAAAAAAGCAGAAAGAAUAGGGUGGGGGUGUAGAAGUAGAAAAAGGCGAGACUCGGCGCAUUCCAGCCCCUCUUCUUUUAGCUGCUGCAGCCGGAAGGCGCGCUUGAUGCCGGCAGAAGCGAAGGAGGUGAAGUUCAUUUGUAGACAUGGAACCCUUUGGGGGGGGGGGGCGGGGGAGCCCAGGGAAUGAAUCAGUUCUCACAGCCCCUUAAUACACACACACACACACACAC
rnacentral:lncRNA from 1 species